GGGGUGCUCUGGUAGGGUGUAUAGCCCGAGAGAGCCGCAGUGAAUAGGCCCAGGCGACUGUUUAGCAAAAACACAGGUCUCUGCGAAGCCGCAAGGCGAAGUAUAGGGGCUGACGCCUGCCCGGUGCUGGAAGGUUAAGAGGAGGGGUUAUCCUUUGGGAGAAGCUCUGAAUCGAAGCCCCAGUAAACGGCGGCCGUAACUAUAACGGUCCUAAGGUAGCGAAAUUCCUUGUCGGGUAAGUUCCGACCCGCACGAAAGGCGUAACGAUCUGGGCACUGUCUCAACGAGAGACUCGGUGAAAUUAUAGUACCUGUGAAGAUGCAGGUUACCCGCGACAGGACGGAAAGACCCCGUGGAGCUUUACUGUAGCCUGAUAUUGAAUUUUGGUACAGCUUGUACAGGAUAGGUAGGAGCCUGAGAAGCCGGAGCGCUAGCUUCGGUGGAGGCGUCGGUGGGAUACUACCCUGGCUGUAUUGAAAUUCUAACCCGCGGCCCUUAUCGGGCCGGGAGACAGUGUCAGGUGGGCAGUUUGACUGGGGCGGUCGCCUCCUAAAAUGUAACGGAGGCGCCCAAAGGUUCCCUCAGAAUGGUUGGAAAUCAUUCGUAGAGUGUAAAGGCACAAGGGAGCUUGACUGCGAGACCUACAAGUCGAGCAGGGACGAAAGUCGGGCUUAGUGAUCCGGUGGUUCCGCAUGGAAGGGCCAUCGCUCAACGGAUAAAAGCUACCCCGGGGAUAACAGGCUUAUCUCCCCCAAGAGUCCACAUCGACGGGGAGGUUUGGCACCUCGAUGUCGGCUCAUCGCAUCCUGGGGCUGUAGUCGGUCCCAAGGGUUGGGCUGUUCGCCCAUUAAAGCGGUACGCGAGCUGGGUUCAGAACGUCGUGAGACAGUUCGGUCCCUAUCCGUCGUGGGCGUAGGAAAUUUGAGAGGAGCUGUCCUUAGUACGAGAGGACCGGGAUGGACACACCGCUGGUGUACCAGUUGUCUUGCCAAAGGCAUCGCUGGGUAGCUAUGUGUGGACGGGAUAAGUGCUGAAAGCAUCUAAGCAUGAAGCCCCCCUCAAGAUGAGAUUUCCCAUAGCGCAAGCUAGUAAGAUCCCUGAAAGAUGAUCAGGUUGAUAGGUCAGAGGUGGAAGCGUGGCGACAUGUGUAGCUGACUGAUACUAAUCGAUCGAGGACUUAACCAAA
rnacentral:rRNA from 2 species